GGCGACCGGCGCACGGGUGAGUAACGCGUAUGUAACCUACCCUGUACAGGGGGAUAGCCCGGAGAAAUUCGGAUUAAUACCCCAUAAUGAUAUCUGGAGGCAUCUUUAUAUAUUUAAAGUUUCGGCGGUACAGGAAGGGCAUGCGUGACAUUAGCUAGUUGGUAGGGUAACGGCCUACCAAGGCUGCGAUGUCUAGGGGUCCUGAGAGGGUGAUCCCCCACACUGGUACUGAGACACGGACCAGACUCCUACGGGAGGCAGCAGUGAGGAAUAUUGGUCAAUGGACGGAAGUCUGAACCAGCCAUCCCGCGUGCAGGAAGACGGCGCUAUGCGUUGUAAACUGCUUUUCCAGGGGAAGAAAUCAUUCUACGUGUAGGAUGUUGCCGGUACCUUGGGAAUAAGCAUCGGCUAACUCCGUGCCAGCAGCCGCGGUAAUACGGAGGAUGCGAGCGUUAUCCGGAUUCAUUGGGUUUAAAGGGUGCGUAGGCGGACUGAUAAGUCAGCGGUGAAAACCUGCAGCUUAACUGUAGAAUUGCCAUUGAUACUGUCGGUCUUGAGUUCGGUUAAGGUAGGCGGAAUGUGUAAUGUAGCGGUGAAAUGCUUAGAUAUUACACAGAACACCGAUUGCGAAGGCAGCUUGCUGGACCGAUACUGACGCUGAUGCACGAAAGCGUGGGGAGCGAACAGGAUUAGAUACCCUGGUAGUCCACGCCGUAAACUAUGAUGACUGGUUGUUAGCGAUAUACCGUUAGCGGCUAAGCAAAAGCAUUAAGUGAUCCACCUGGGGAGUACGGCCGCAACGAUGAAACUCAAAGGAAUUGACGGGGGCCCGCACAAGCGG
rnacentral:rRNA from 1 species